CGGAGUGUGGCGCAGCGGUAGCGCACUCGGUUUGGGACCGAGGGGUCGUGAGUUCGAAUCUCACCACUCCGACCA
rnacentral:tRNA from 3 species